rnacentral:rRNA from 1 species
GAUGAACGCUGGCGGCGUGCCUAAUACAUGCAAGUCGAGCGAACAGACGAGGAGCUUGCUCCUCUGACGUUAGCGGCGGGCGGGUGAGUAACACGUGGAUAACCUACCUAUAAGACUGGGAUAACUUCGGGAAACCGGAGCUAAUACCGGAUAAUAUAUUGAACCGCAUGGUUCAAAAGUGAAAGACGGUUUUGCUGUCACUUAUAGAUGGAUCCGCGCCGCAUUAGCUAGUUGGUAAGGUAACGGCUUACCAAGGCAACGAUGCGUAGCCGACCUGAGAGGGUGAUCGGCCACACUGGAACUGAGACACGGUCCAGACUCCUACGGGAGGCAGCAGUAGGGAAUCUUCCGCAAUGGGCGAAAGCUUGACGGAGCAACGCCGCGUGAGUGAUGAAGGUCUUCGGAUCGUAAAACUCUGUUAUUAGGGAAGAACAAAUGUGUAAGUAACUAUGCACGUCUUGACGGUACCUAAUCAGAAAGCCACGGCUAACUACGUG